GUUGGGAGUAGUGGUGCAUGCCUGUAGUCCUGGCUGUUUGGGAGGCUGAGGGGGGAGAAUUGCUUGAUCCCAGGAGUUCAAAGUCAGCCUGGGCAACAUAGCAAGACCCUGGAUUAA
rnacentral:sRNA from 1 species